rnacentral:rRNA from 1 species
UCGGAACGUGCCCAGUCGGUGGGGAUAACGUAGCGAAAGUUACGCUAAUACCGCAUACGAUCUAAGGAUGAAAGCGGGGGAUCGCAAGACCUCGCGCGAUUGGAGCGGCCGAUAUCAGAUUAGGUAGUUGGUGAGGUAAAGGCUCACCAAGCCGACGAUCUGUAGCUGGUCUGAGAGGACGACCAGCCACACUGGGACUGAGACACGGCCCAGACUCCUACGGGAGGCAGCAGUGGGGAAUUUUGGACAAUGGGCGCAAGCCUGAUCCAGCAAUGCCGCGUGCAGGAUGAAGGCCUUCGGGUUGUAAACUGCUUUGUACGGAACGAAACGGUGAGCUCUAAUACAGUUUGCUAAUGACGGUACCGUAAGAAUAAGCACCGGCUAACUACGUG